rnacentral:rRNA from 1 species
UACGUAGGGUGCGAGCGUUGUUCGGAGUUAUUGGGCGUAAAGGGCGUGUAGGCGGCUUGAGAAGUCUGGUUUGAAAUGCACUGGCUCAACUGGUGCGCUGGGUCAGAAACUGGCAGGCUUGAGUUCAUGGGGAGGAGCUGGAAUUCCAGGUGUAGGGGUGAAAUCUGUAGAGAUCUGGAAGAACACCGGUAGCGAAGGCGGGCUCCUAUGGAUGGACUGACGCUGAGGAGCGAAAGCGUGGGGAGCAAACAGG